UAUGGUGCUUUAAUGGAUAUUUGUAAGCAAUUUUACAGUGGAUUUUUGAUCCAAGUGUAAUGUGUUAUGUUUUCUCUUAAACUUAACACCUGCUGAAAAUUUAAUUAUUGAAAAACGAAAUAUUUUCAUUGAAUACAAAAAAAUGUUUAUGAUUUGUCAAUUUUUUGUGGAUAUUUCAAAUUGAAGUUUGCAAAAUAACUGUACGAAAUUUUUGUGUUUUUUUAUAAAAUGGCCGUUGCAGUUCAUUUAGUUGAAGUGCUUACACUUGUAUCAAUUCUUGGUAUUUUAUUCGGACUUUCAGCUGUUAUUGCAUGUUCAGCAAAAAUUUUAUUCAUGGCUCUUUACAUACUUAAAAUGGCUGUUAAUUGGAUUGCAUUUGUUCUUUAUAAUUCAGAAAAAACUAUUUUCUUUACAAUUUUGAAUAUUUGUAAUAUUGUGCCUGAGUUUGCUGUGACAGAAGCUGAAGAAGAUCAUUUGUUAAAAGGAUGCGUGUGUGGUUCUUAAUAUUUGAAAUGUCUGAA